rnacentral:rRNA from 1 species
CAGUCGCCGCGGUAAUACGAAGGGUGCAAGCGUUACUCGGAAUUACUGGGCGUAAAGCGUGCGUAGGUGGUGGUUUAAGUCCGUUGUGAAAGCCCUGGGCUCAACCUGGGAAUUGCAGUGGAUACUGGGUCACUAGAGUGUGGUAGAGGAUAGUGGAAUUUCCGGUGUAGCAGUGAAAUGCGUAGAGAUCGGAAGGAACAUCUGUGGCGAAGGCGACUAUCUGGGCCAACACUGACACUGAGGCACGAAAGCGUGGGGAGCAAACAGGAUUAGAUACCCCUGUAGUCCCUGUCUCUUAUCU